CAGAAUCUCAACACCUGUCAACUAUGAUAGGUCAUCAGUUGGCAAGAUGGAUACACUGAAGUUUUGUGCUAAUGCUUCUCAGCAAGUACCUGCUUCUUCAUUCAGCCCUUUAGAUCCAGUGUGUCAAAAUGCUAAUUGCCAACCUCAACAAUCAGAUAACUCAUCCAUGUCUGAUUCUUUACCGUGUAAAACAUCAAAAUCGUCGCUAGAUAUGCUUCCAGACAGUAAUGCUCAUCCACAUGCAACGGAGCUACAUAACCGUCCAUGCCAUAUAUCCUCCCCUUCUGUCCUAUGCUCUUAUGGUAAAGAUAAUGCACGUAUGAAAGAGCAGCAAACUUCAUCUUCCAUGUUUCAAUCUUCUGGGAAAAGCUUUCCUUCUUACAUGUUACCUAGCCAAGAGUCUUACUUUGCUCUACAGCCAAAUUCGUCUUUGACUUCCUUACCUCCACCUCCUCCACCAUUAGUGGAUUCAACUGUAACUCUCAGUGUUUCUUCACAUUUUUGGCAGAGUUACUUUCCUCUGAGGAAUGAUUUUGGUUCCCAGAUUCUCCAAAGACCUUAUCUUUCUAAAUUGCCUGCAUGUUCUCAAUCUGAUGGGUUUCAACAGCGAGCUUAUCCUCCAAUACAGGAUGUUAAUCACCUAUCUUGCAGGCUUCUUUACCUGUGUGUAACCUGCCUGGAGCUCCUAGUAUGUCGAGAGAUGAUGGUUUAACACAAACCUCCAACGCAGAAUUUUAUUGCUUUAAACUCCUUUUCCCAGAGCAAUAUUCAUCCUCAUGCUCUGCCCUGUUCACAACAGAACAAAUGCAACCACUUUCCUCUGAGAGUGCCACCAGGUGGUCUUUCUUACUCAUCUUCAUAUAUUAAUCCCUAUGCACAACAGCAACCACCACACAGUUCACACCACUCAACAAUUGAUGGUAUUUAUAAUCUUGGUGGAAAGAUGAAUUCUUCAUUAAAAAGUUCCACCAAAUUUGGGGACACCCCACCCCACCGAGUUGACAUUGGAGGAUCAAGUAGUUCAAUUCCUAAUCCAAAUGCAUCGACUCUUCUUCAGCCAAUGAAUACCAAUUAUGAUUUGAUAUUCUCCGGCAAGAAAAAGAUAUAGCCUACAAUAGGACUCCUUUCAGUUUAGCUAACGAUUCAGUUCAUGAGAGAGGUAUCGUAUCUCAACAAGCAACAUUGUCACCCAAUUCUUCCAGGGCCUUUGGGCAGAAUUUUCUUCGAGCAGGUUGACCAAUAUGAUCCACUCGUUGAUAGCAUUGAACCAUCUUCAAGUUUAUCGAGAAAAACAAUUGUAUUCAAAGUUGAAAGUAACAGGUGACUGACAUUUUGUUGGGGCUUAGUGGUUCCAACAAGCCACUGAAUUUGGGGAAAAACAACCAGAGGAAAGAUGCUGCAGCUGCUGCUUCUGUGGCAUCUGCAGGGAAGGAGGAAUUUGGAGAGACUGCUGAUGGUGAAGUUGGGUCUGGUGAGAGUGGAAGCCCGAGUAAUCCGGUUGAAGUUAACAUGGCUACUAGUGAGGUUGAGACUGACCAGAUAAAGUCUCCAGGGGAGAGCAAGAAGAGCAAAAGUUCCAGAUCAAUGAAGCAUUUCAAGGUUGCCCUUGCACGUUUUGUGAAGGAGCUUUUAAAGCCAUCAUGGAAACAGGGUAAUAUGAGCAAUGAGACAUUUAAGACUAUUGUGAAGAAGACUGUUGAUAAGGUAUCAGGAGCUAUGAAGAGCCACCAUGUGCCCAAAUCUCGUGAAAAAAUCGAUCGUUACAUCAAGUCAUCUCAGCAGAAAUUGACAAAACUUGUGAUGGGUUAUGUUGAUAAGUAUGUUCAUGUGUAAGAUGGCAUCGAUGUUGAUCCGAAACACUUCCAUCAACAGGUGAGUUUUUUUCUUUCCGUUCCACUGCAACAGGUGGAAACAUUCAUUUUGUUGCAGUGGGUUGAGAAAAAGUCAAUUUUCGAGUUGGUGGUGCUAAAAACUCGGUUUGUAUAGUUUUGUAAUGUUUGGAUAUUUUAUGAAAAAAGGUGAAAAUGACAAGAUAUGUUACGUUA